rnacentral:tRNA from 1 species
GGAGAUAUAGCUCAGUUGGUAGAGUGCUUGACUUGCAUGCACAAAGCCCUGGGUUCAAUUCCCAGCACCA